UACGGAGGAUGCAAGCGUUAUCCGGAAUGAUUGGGCGUAAAGCGUCCGCAGGUGGCUAUGUAAGUCUGCUGUUAAAGAGUGAGGCUCAACCUCAUAAGAGCAGUGGAAACUACAUGGCUAGAGUGCGUUCGGGGCAGAGGGAAUUCCUGGUGUAGCGGUGGAAUGCGUAGAGAUCCGGAAGAACACCGGUGGCGAAGGCGGCCUGCUGGGCGGCGACGUGACGGCUGAGGCGCGACAGCGUGGGGAGCAAACAGG
rnacentral:rRNA from 1 species